GCUUAACACAUGCAAGUCGAGCGGUAACAGGAGAAGCUUGCUUCUUGCUGACGAGCGGCGGACGGGUGAGUAAUACUUAGGAAUCUGCCCAGUAGUGGGGGAUAGCUCGGGGAAACUCGAAUUAAUACCGCAUACACCCUACGGGGAAAAGGGGGCGCUUGCGCUCUCGCUAUUGGAUGAGCCUAAGUCGGAUUAGCUAGUUGGUGGGGUAAAGGCCUACCAAGGCGACGAUCUGUAGCUGGUCUGAGAGGAUGAUCAGCCACACCGGGACUGAGACACGGCCCGGACUCCUACGGGAGGCAGCAGUGGGGAAUAUUGGACAAUGGGGGCAACCCUGAUCCAGCCAUGCCGCGUGUGUGAAGAAGGCCUUUUGGUUGUAAAGCACUUUAAGCAGUGAAGAAGACUCUAUGGUUAAUACCCAUAGACGAUGACAUUAGCUGCAGAAUAAGCACCGGCUAACUCUGUGCCAGCAGCCGCGGUAAUACAGAGGGUGCAAGCGUUAAUCGGAAUUACUGGGCGUAAAGCGAGCGUAGGUGGCUUAAUAAGUCAGAUGUGAAAUCCCCGGGCUUAACCUGGGAACUGCAUCUGAUACUGUUAAGCUAGAGUAGGUGAGAGGGAGGUAGAAUUUCAGGUGUAGCGGUGAAAUGCGUAGAGAUCUGAAGGAAUACCGAUGGCGAAGGCAGCCUCCUGGCAUCAUACUGACACUGAGGUUCGAAAGCGUGGGUAGCAAACAGGAUUAGAUACCCUGGUAGUCCACGCCGUAAACGAUGUCUACUAGUCGUUGGGGAACUUGAUUCCUUAGUGACGCAGCUAACGCAAUAAGUAGACCGCCUGGGGAGUACGGCCGCAAGGUUAAAACUCAAAUGAAUUGACGGGGGCCCGCACAAGCGGUGGAGCAUGUGGUUUAAUUCGAUGCAACGCGAAGAACCUUACCUGGUCUUGACAUAUCUAGAAUCCUGCAGAGAUGCGGGAGUGCCUUCGGGAAUUAGAAUACAGGUGCUGCAUGGCUGUCGUCAGCUCGUGUCGUGAGAUGUUGGGUUAAGUCCCGCAACGAGCGCAACCCUUUUCCUUAGUUACCAGCGGUUAGGCCGGGGACUCUAAGGAUACUGCCAGUGACAAACUGGAGGAAGGCGGGGACGACGUCAGUCAUCAUGGCCCUUACGACCAGGGCUACCCCGUGCUACAAUGGUAGGUACAGAGGGCUGCUCCCAGGGAUG
rnacentral:rRNA from 1 species